rnacentral:rRNA from 1 species
GAUGAACGCUAGCUGCAGGCUUAACACAUGCAAGUCGAGGGACCGGCGCACGGGUGAGUAACACGUAUCCAACAUGCCCUUUACUCUGCGAUAGCCUUUCGAAAGAAAGGUUAAUACCCGAUAUAAAGGAUGGGGAUGCGUUCCAUUAGGUUGUUGGUGAGGUAACGGCCCACCAAGCCUUCGAUGGAUAGGGGUUCUGAGAGGAAGGUCCCCCACAUCGGAACUGAGACACGGUCCAAACUCGUACGCGAGGCAGGAGUGAUGAAGAUUGGGCAAUGGGCGUUAGCCUGAACCAGCCAAGUAGCGUGAAGGAUGAAGGGUUAUGGGUCGUAAAUUUCUUGUAUAUAAGAAUAGGUAUUAUAUGAAUAAGGAUCGGCUAACUCCGUGCCAGCAGCCGCGGUAAUUC